rnacentral:rRNA from 1 species
CCUACGGGUGGCAGCAGUGGGGAAUAUUGGACAAUGGGGGGAACCCUGAUCCAGCGACGCCGCGUGAGUGAAGAAGUAUUUCGGUAUGUAAAGCUCUAUCAGCAGGGAAGAAAGAAAUGACGGUACCUGACUAAGAAGCCCCGGCUAACUACGUGCCAGCAGCCGCGGUAAUACGUAGGGGGCAAGCGUUAUCCGGAUUUACUGGGUGUAAAGGGAGCGUAGACGGUUACGCAAGUCUGGAGUGAAAGGCGGGGGCCCAACCCCCGGACUGCUUUGUAAACUGUAGAACUGGAGUGCAGGAGAGGUAAGUGGAAUUUCUAGUGUAGCGGUGUAAUGCGUAGGAAUUUGGAGGAACGCCAGUGGCGAAGGCGGCUUACUGGACUGUAACUGACGUUGAGGCUCGAAAGCGUGGGGAGCAAACAGGAUUAGAUACCCUGGUAGUC